rnacentral:rRNA from 1 species
AUUGAACGCUGGCGGCAUGCUUUACACAUGCAAGUCGAACGGUAACAGGCCGCAAGGUGCUGACGAGUGGCGAACGGGUGAGUAAUGCAUCGGAACGUGCCCAGUCGUGGGGGAUAACGCAGCGAAAGCUGCGCUAAUACCGCAUACGAUCUAUGGAUGAAAGCGGGGGACCGAAAGGCCUCGCGCGAUUGGAGCGGCCGAUGUCAGAUUAGGUAGUUGGUGGGGUAAAGGCUCACCAAGCCAACGAUCUGUAGCUGGUCUGAGAGGACGACCAGCCACACUGGGACUGAGACAGGGCCCAGACUCCUACGGGAGGCAGCAGUGGGGAAUUUUGGACAAUGGGCGCAAGCCUGAUCCAGCAAUGCCGCGUGCAGGAAGAAGGCCUUCGGGUUGUAAACUGCUUUUGUACGGAACGAAACGGUCCGGGUUAAUACCCUGGGCUAAUGACGGUACCGUAAGAAUAAGCACCGGCUAACUACGUGCCAGCAGCCGCCGUAAAAC